UACGUAGGGGGCUAGCGUUGUCCGGAAUAAUUGGGAGUAAAGAGUGUGUAGGCGGCUAUAGAGGUAAGUUGUGAAAACUCGAGGCUUAACCUCGAGACGUCGAUGGAAACCGUAUGGCUAGAGUCCGGAAGAGGAGAGUGGAAUUCCUGGUGUAGCGGUGAAAUGCGCAGAUAUCAGGAAGAACACCCGUGGCGAAGGCGGCUCUCUGGGACGGUACUGACGCUGAGACGCGAAAGCGUGGGGAGCGAACAGG
rnacentral:rRNA from 1 species